rnacentral:rRNA from 1 species
CCCUAGUAACUGCGAGUGAAGCGGGAAGAGCUCAAAUUUAAAAUCUGGCGGUCUCUGGCCGUCCGAGUUGUAAUCUAGAGAAGUGUUACCCGYGCUGGACCGUGUACAAGUCUCCUGGAAUGGAGCGUCAUAGAGGGUGAGAAUCCCGUCUCUGACACGGACUACCAGGGCUUUGUGGUACGCUCUCAAAGAGUCGAGUUGUUUGGGAAUGCAGCUCAAAAUGGGUGGUAAAUUCCAUCUAAAGCUAAAUAUUGGCGAGAGACCGAUAGCGAACAAGUACCGUGAGGGAAAGAUGAAAAGAACUUUGGAAAGAGAGUUAAACAGUACGUGAAAUUGCUGAAAGGGAAACGCUUGAAGUCAGUCGCGUUGGCCGGGGAUCAGCCUCACUUUUGUGUGGUGUACUUUCUGGUUGACGGGUCAGCAUCAAUUUUGACCGCUGGAAAAAGGCUUGGGGAAUGUGGCAGCUUCGGCUGUGUUAUAGCCCCUUGUCACAUACAGCGGUUGGGAUUGAGGAACUCAGCACGCCGCAAGGCCGGGUUUCGACCACGUUCGUGCUUAGGAUGCUGGCAUAAUGGCUUUAAGCGACCCGUCUUGAAACACGGACCAAGGAGUCUAACAUGCCUGCGAGUGUUUGGGUGGAAAACCCGAGCGCGUAAUGAAAGUGAAAGUUGAGAUCCCUGUCGUGGGGAGCAUCGACGCCCGGACCAGAACUUUUGGGACGGAUCCGCGGUAGAGCAUGUAUGUUGGGACCCGAAAGAUGGUGAACUAUGCCUGAAUAGGGUGAAGCCAGAGGAAACUCUGGUGGAGGCUCGUAGCGAUUCUGACGUGCAAAUCGAUCGUCAAAUUUGGGUAUAGGGGCGAAAGACUAAUC